CAGAGAGAGAGGGAGAGAGAGAGAGAAUCCCAAGCAGGCUCUGCAUUGUCAGCUCAGAGCCCUAGGUGAGGUUUGAACCCAUGAACUGUGAGAUCAUGACCUGAGUCAAAAUCAAGAGCCGGAUGCCUAAUUGACUGAGCCACCCAGGCGCCCCUACCCAGAUAUAUUCUUAACCACUAUUUGAUGCUGUCUUUCCAUGUGCCAGGUGCUGUCUUUAGCUCUACAGAUACAGCAGAGAACAAAGGAGAAUUGGCCUUGCCCAAGUGGAGCUAAAGUCUCUUCUGGAACGUGGAGCACGGAAGGAGACCAAUCUUCCCUACAGACCAAAGAUAAAUUUCUUUUGAAGUACUCUGGAUGGACAAAAAAAUCUGUUCAAAAGAUCAAAGGGUGAUUAUUUUACCAAAUUAUUAUUUGAAGAAUACGCUCACCAUGAUCAUACAACUAUUUUUUGAUUUAUGGAAAUACAAUUGGUAUUCAACUUUUUAGGAGUAUAUUUAGCGUGUAAAACAAGAACAAAUUGCAUGAAGUAAGAGCCCACGUCUGUGUUGUUUCUCACUAAGAUCAGCACCUUUCUGGCCACCUAGUAGGCUUUUGAAUAUCUGUGUGAUUGAUUUCAAUACUGGAAUAUGUUUUCUGUUAAAUCUCAAGGGCAUCAGUUCUGCAGUUCUCCCUUUAUAGUUGUUAACAUGAAUUUUGAUGACACGAAAAAGCUUGUUCUCCGAAUUAUAUUUAGCUCAUACAAACUCUACUGCACAAUUAUGUUGUAAAGAGGAAUUAGGUUUUAUCUUUAAGUUGUUAUUAUAGCCUUGUGAGAAGGUGAACAUUGAGAAUAAGUACAAAGUAGUAGCAUAUCGUAUUAUUAAUUUUGCUACUUUUUUAAAAACACUGCGGUGCAGGGCCUAGAACAGGCUGACACAUGUGGUAGGUGUAUCAGUCAGGGUCUGCAUAAGAAACAGAUGGCACACUCAAAAUAGAUAAUUAGGGGAGGAUUUAAUAGAGACACUAUAUGCAAGGGUUGGUAAGGUGUAGGGAAACCAUAAGGAUAGUGCAGUAUCCAAGAGGCUUGUAAUAGCUGGGGUCUUUGUCAUUUUUUAAAAAAUUUGUUUACGUAUUUUGAGAGAGACAGAGAUGGCACGUGUGGGGGAGGGCAGAGAGAGAGGGAGACAGAGAAUCCCAAGCGGGCUCCGCACUGACACAGGGCUCAAACCCACAAGACCAAAACCAAGAGAUCUUGACCUGAAGCCAACACCAAGAGUCGGACGCUUAACCCACUGAGCCACCCAGGCGCCCCAGUCUUUAUCAUCUCUAGAUCUGGAAGUUCAAAGGAGGGAGAAAUGACAGAACCCAGGAAGAGAGGACCACCUUGAGAAGGGGCGGUGGUGAGCUAUUAUCAAUAGCACAACCAACCCGUGGUGAUCUGGCAGGGAGGGAACUGGGGGAAUAAAUACUUUGACCUCACCCUCCUUCUGCCCUCCACGCCUCUGCUGCUGCCUCCCAUUGGCUGGAAGCUAAGAGGACUAAGGAGUGAGUUGAUGUAGGAGGGGUAGAAAAGUGGACCUGAAGGGGCAAUUGGAAAAUACCUGUUAUAGAAGACUUCAUUUCCUUGUUGAGUGAAGACUUGACGUUUAAAUCUUGGUAUUUUAGUAAGAAAAUGAAACCUUUGGGAAUGGCACCUAUGGCAGUAAGUUCAGGGUCAUUCAUUCAUUCAUUCUUCUACUGACCAUACUAUAAAAAAGUACUGUGCUGGGCAUUUUGAGAGAAGCCCAGCCAUGGCAAAAGAAUCCUAGAUAUGCAAUGAAUUUUCCUUCUCGAUGCAUGUAUUUAAA
rnacentral:lncRNA from 1 species